AUCCCGCCGGUGAUCGGGUUCAUCACCACCUCCCUGUUGGACUUGCCCGGGCCAAUUUGCCCGGGCUUUUUU
rnacentral:ncRNA from 1 species